rnacentral:rRNA from 1 species
GAAGGGUGCUAGCGUUGUUCGGAAUCACGUGGGCGUAAAGCGCGCGUAGGCGGCUUUCCAAGUCAGGGGUGAAAUCCUGGGGCUCAACCCUAGAAUUGCCUUUGAAACUGGAAAGCUGGAGUAUUGGAGGGGAGUGCGGAAUUCCUAAUGUAGAGGUGAAAUUCGUAGAUAUUAGGAGGAACACCGGUGGCGAAGGCGGCACUCUGGACAAUAACUGACGCUCUGGCGCGAAAGCGCGGGGAUCAAACAGGAUUAGAUACCCUGGUAGUCCGCGCUGUAAACGAUGGAUGCUAGCCGUAGGGGGGUUACCCCUCUGUGGCGUAGCUAACGCGUUAAGCAUCCCGCCUGGGGAGUACGGUCGCAAGAUUA